CUACGUGCCAGCAGCCGCGGUAAUACGUAGGGUGCGAGCGUUAAUCGGAAUUACUGGGCGUAAAGCGAGCGCAGACGGUUUAUUAAGCAAGAUGUGAAAUCCCCGAGCUUAACUUGGGAACUGCGUUUUGAACUGGUAAGCUAGAGUAUGUCAGAGGGGGGUAGAAUUCCACGUGUAGCAGUGAAAUGCGUAGAGAUGUGGAGGAAUACCGAUGGCGAAGGCAGCCCCCUGGGAUAAUACUGACGUUCAUGCUCGAAAGCGUGGGUAGCAAACAGGAUUAGAUACCCUGGUAGUCCACGCCCUAAACGAUGUCAAUUAGCUGUUGGGCAACAUGAUUGCUUAGUAGCGUAGCUAACGCGUGAAAUUGACCGCCUGGGGAGUACGGUCGCAAGAUUAAAACUCAAAGGAAUUGACGGGGGCCCGCACAAGCAGCGGAGCAUGUGGUUUAAUUCGAAGCAACGCGAAGAACCUUACCAGGGCU
rnacentral:rRNA from 1 species